UAGGGAAUCUUCCACAAUGGACGCAAGUCUGAUGGAGCAACGCCGCGUGAGUGAAGAAGGUUUUCGGAUCGUAAAGCUCUGUUGUUGGUGAAGAAGGAUAGAGGCAGUAACUGGUCUUUAUUUGACGGUAAUCAACCAGAAAGUCACGGCUAACUACGUGCCAGCAGCCGCGGUAAUACGUAGGUGGCAAGCGUUGUCCGGAUUUAUUGGGCGUAAAGCGAGCGUAGGCGGAAUGAUAAGUCUGAUGUGAAAGCCCACGGCUCAACCGGGGAACUGCAUCGGAAACUGUAAUUCUUGAGUGCAGAAGAGGAGAGUGGAAUUCCAUGUGUAGCGGUGGAAUGCGUAGAUAUAUGGAAGAACACCAGUGGCGAAGGAGGCUCUCUGGUCUGCAACUGACGCUGAGGCUCGAAAGCAUGGGUAGCGAACAGG
rnacentral:rRNA from 1 species